CAGCCGCCGCGGUAAUACCGGCGGCCCGAGUGGCGGCCACUAUUAUUGGGCUUAAAGCGUCCGUAGCCGGGUUGGUUAGUCUCCCGGGAAAUCUGGCCGCUUAACGGUCAGAAUUCCGGGAGAUACUGCCAGCCUAGGGACCGGGAGAGGCCGAGGGUAUUCCCGGAGUAGGGGUGAAAUCCUAUAAUCCCGGGAGGACCACCUGUGGCGAAGGCGCUCGGCUGGAACGGGUCCGACGGUGAGGGACGAAGGCCAGGGGAGCAAACCGGAUUAGAUACCCGGGUAGUCCUGGCUGUAAACGAUGCGGACUUUGUGUCGGACAAGCUAUGAGCUUGUCCGGUGCCGGAGGGAAACCGUUAAGUCCGCCGCCUGGGGAGUACGGCCGCAAGGCUGAAACUUAAGGAAUUGGCGGG
rnacentral:rRNA from 1 species